rnacentral:rRNA from 1 species
UAACCUGCCUCAUACACAUGGAUAACAUACCGAAAGGUAUGCUAAUACAAGAUGACAUAAGAGAUUCGCAUGGAUUUCUUAUCAAAGCUCCGGCGGUAUGAGAUGGACCCGCGUCUGAUUAGCUAGUUGGUAAGGUAAUGGCUUACCAAGGCUUCGAUCAGUAGCCGACCUGAGAGGGUGAUCGGCCACAUUGGAACUGAGACACGGUCCAA